UAGUACCAUCAAAACAUAGCAAAGAUCUAAUCUCCGCCUACUUUAGCGCCUGUUUCCAUCAAAACACAGUAAACCCUCUGUUUAUCUGUAUUUUCUCAAAACACAGAUUGUGAAUCUGGUCGUGUGUGAAUUCAACUCUGCCCUAGUUUCCAUGUCGCUCGUUUGAGAAUCCUAGGUUAAAUUUGAGAGUGUUGACAUGAAUGAUCAUCGUGAUCAUAUCUUCGGAUGGAUGAAAGAGUUAUGGAACAAGAGGACACUUGCAUGCAAAAUAUGUGAAGGAUAAGCCAAUCCAACAGGCUCUUAAGAAUAUUCCAAAGGGACUAGACAAGAAAGAAUGUGAGUGGUUAAUAAAGGAACAUUUUUCUUCAGAAAGUUUUCAGGCGAGAAGCAACAUAAAUGCGGCAAAUCGAGCUAAGUUGAAGACGCUUCAUCAUAUUGGUAGCAAGCUAUUCGAGAGAUUAUUUAUCAAAAGAUGGCAAUCCACCAGAUUAGGCAAUAAUUUUCUUCGAGACCCAUAAAAAAGAUAACAAGCUUGUUGAACCUGAAGCAAUUGAAAAACAUGCUCAAUCGAAGAAAUAAUUCAAUCAGAUCCAUCUCUACCUAUCAUAGAGAUUAUAGAAAAAUGUUGUGGACCUCAAACUCGUAGCCAUGUGUUUGGCUUUGGGGGUGGAGUAAAGGUGAAAGACUUGAAAGGUGGAACUUCUUCAAAUACUGAAUUAGUGUCCGCGUUACGUUCAACUCGAGAAGACAACAAGUCUUUGAAUGAGGAAAACAAAUCCUUGCAAGAGCGCUUGUCUACCUUAGAAGAUGACAUGAAAGAAAUGAAGAAAAUGAAAGAGUUCUUCGCUGCUCAACAAUCACAUGUCCCGCUUACGACAUCGCCCGUUUCAACUGAAUGAACACUGUUUUGUCUACUGACCAACCUUGUUGAUGUUGCUCUAUAACACCUGGUGAAUUUAGACUGCUUUUGGGUUUUGAAGAUUGAAGCUACAAAUCAAGAUGCAAGUUUAGAAGAUGCACAAGCUCAUUUAUUAUUUUGUUAGGACUGUUAUUCAAAACUUGAUAUCCUAUCAGGAUGUUAGCUAAGUUUUUUAGUUAAGGUGUUGAGCAAAUAUAAAAACUAACAUCAU